rnacentral:rRNA from 1 species
UACGAAGGGGGCUAGCGUUGCUCGGAAUCACUGGGCGUAAAGGGUGCGUAGGCGGGUUCUUAAGUCAGAGGUGAAAUCCUGGAGCUCAACUCCAGAACUGCCUUUGAUACUGAGAGUCUUGAGUAUGACAGAGGUGAGUGGAACUGCGAGUGUAGAGGUGAAAUUCGUAGAUAUUCGCAAGAACACCAGUGGCGAAGGCGGCGCACUGGCCCGGUACUGACGCUGAGGUGCGAAAGCGUGGGGAGCAAACAGG